rnacentral:rRNA from 1 species
UAGGGAAUCUUCCACAAUGGACGAAAGUCUGAUGGAGCAACGCCGCGUGAGUGAAGAAGGGUUUCGGCUCGUAAAGCUCUGUUGGUAGUGAAGAAAGAUAGAGGUAGUAACUGGCCUUUAUUUGACGGUAAUUACUUAGAAAGUCAAGACUAACUACGU